rnacentral:misc_RNA from 1 species
GUGAAGAACGUAGCGAAAUGCGAUAAGUAAUGUGAAUUGCAGUAUUCAGUGAAUCAUCGAAUCUUUGAACGCACAUUGCGCCCGCCAGUAUUCUGGCGGGCAUGCCUGUUCGAGCGUCAUUUCAACCAUCAAGCCCCAGGCUUGUGUUGGGGACCUGCGGCUGCCGCAGGCCCUGAAAACCAGUGGCGGGCUCGCUGUCACACCGGGCGUAGUAGAUUUUAUCUCGCUCUGGGCGUGCUGCGGGUUCCGGCCGUUAAAAAACCCUUUUAACCCAAGGUUGACCUCGGAUCAGGUAGGAAUACCCGCUGAACUUAAGCAUAUCAAUAAGCGGAGGA